rnacentral:rRNA from 1 species
UGGGGAAUAUUGCACAAUGGGCGCAAGCCUGAUGCAGCCAUGCCGCGUGUAUGAAGAAGGCCUUCGGGUUGUAAAGUACUUUCAGCGGGGAGGAAGGGAGUAAAGUUAAUACCUUUGCUCAUUGACGUUACCCGCAGAAGAAGCACCGGCUAACUACGUGCCAGCAGCCGCGGUAAUACGUAGGGCGCGAGCGUUGUCCGGAAUUAUUGGGCGUAAAGGGCUUGUAGGCGGCUUGUUGCGCCUGCUGUGAAAACGCGGGGCUUAACUUCGCGCGUGCAGUGGGUACGGGCAGGCUUGAGUGUGGUAGGGGUGACUGGAAUUCCAGGUGUAGCGGUGGAAUGCGCAGAUAUCUGGAGGAACACCGAUGGCGAAGGCAGGUCACUGGGCCAUUACUGACGCUGAGGAGCGAAAGCAUGGGUAGCGAACAGG